rnacentral:rRNA from 1 species
CUACGGGAGGCAGCAGUGAGGAAUAUUGGGCAAUGGAGCAAGUCUGAUCCAGCCAUGCCGCGUGCGGAAGACGGCCCUAUGGGUUGUAAACUGCUUUUAUACGGAAAAAAACACCCCUAGGAGAAGAUUGACGGGACCGUACGAAUAAGGACCGGCUAACUCCGUGCCAGCAGCCGCGGUAAU